UACGUAGGGUGCAAGCGUUAAUCGGAAUUACUGGGCGUAAAGCGCGUGUAGGUGGCGAUGUAAGUCGGGUGUGAAAUCCCUCGGCUCAACCGAGGAAGUGCACUCGAUACUGUGUCGCUUGAGUGUUGGAGGGGAUGGCGGAAUUCCCGGUGUAGAGGUGAAAUUCGUAGAUAUCGGGAGGAACACCUGUGGCGAAGGCGGCCAUCUGGACAACUACUGACACUGAGACGCGAAAGCGUGGGUAGCAAACAGG
rnacentral:rRNA from 1 species